rnacentral:rRNA from 1 species
UACGUAGGGCGCAAGCGUUGUCCGGAAUUAUUGGGCGUAAAGAGCUCGUAGGCGGCUUGUCACGUCGGAUGUGAAAGCCCGGGGCUUAACUCCGGGUCUGCAUUCGAUACGGGCUGGCUAGAGUGUGGUAGGGGAGAUCGGAAUUCCUGGUGUAGCGGUGAAAUGCGCAGAUAUCAGGAGGAACACCGGUGGCGAAGGCGGAUCUCUGGGCCAUUACUGACGCUGAGGUGCGAAAGCGUGGGGAGCAAACAGG